AUGGGCAAUACAUGUCGUGGAUCUUUAAAAGGUAAAUAUAUUCAAGAAGGCUAUACCCAGCCUGUUGACCAUUCUUCAAAGCGAACAAUCAUCUCUGACAACAACAACAACAACAACAACAACGACUCUAAUUCAGAUCAUCAUAAUCAUCAUCGCAACAACAACAAACCACUCAAUCCCCCACCACCACCUUCCUUCAACUUUAAGAACGACGCCAUGCGCCGCGGCCCUGAUAAUCAGACUUAUUAUGUCUUAGGUCAUAAGACUCCCAACAUUCGUGAUCUCUACACUCUUGGCCGCAAGCUUGGUCAAGGUCAAUUUGGCACCACUUUCUUAGCCAUCGAUAAUUCCACCUCCAUUGAAUAUGCUUGCAAAUCCAUCUCUAAGAGGAAGCUCAUUUCCAAGGAGGAUGUUGAGGAUGUUCGCAGAGAAAUUCAGAUUAUGCAUCAUUUGGCUGGUCACAAGAACAUUGUUACCAUCAAGGGUGCCUAUGAGGAUGCUCUCUAUGUCCAUAUUGUCAUGGAGCUUUGUUCUGGUGGCGAGCUCUUCGAUCGUAUCAUCCAGAGAGGUCAUUAUACCGAGAGGAAGGCUGCUGAGUUGACCAGAAUUAUUGUUGGUGUUGUCGAGGCCUGUCAUUCCCUUGGUGUUAUGCAUAGAGAUCUCAAGCCUGAAAACUUUUUGUUGGUUAACAAAGAUGACGAUUUCUCUCUUAAAGCUAUUGACUUUGGCCUCUCUGUUUUCUUCAAACCAGGUCAAGUUUUCACCGAUGUAGUUGGCAGCCCAUACUAUGUUGCUCCUGAGGUUCUCCUCAAGCAUUAUGGGCCUGAAGCAGAUGUGUGGACGGCGGGUGUCAUACUUUAUAUAUUGCUCAGUGGUGUGCCACCGUUUUGGGCAGAGACCCAGCAGGGUAUAUUCGAUGCAGUGUUGAAGGGACAUAUAGAUUUUGACUCAGAGCCAUGGCCUCUAAUAUCUGAUAGUGGAAAAGAUCUUAUUAGAAAGAUGCUGUGUUCUCGGCCUUCAGAUCGGUUAACCGCUCAUGAAGUUUUAUGUCAUCCAUGGAUAUGUGAAAAUGGAGUUGCCCCUGACAGAUCAUUGGACCCUGCUGUUCUUUCUCGUCUCAAACAGUUUUCUGCAAUGAAUAAGCUAAAGAAGAUGGCUUUACGGGUAAUUGCUGAAAGUCUUUCCGAGGAAGAAAUUGCUGGUUUGAGAGAAAUGUUCCAGACUAUGGAUACUGAUAACAGUGGUGCAAUCACUUUUGAUGAACUCAAAGCUGGUCUAAGAAGAUAUGGGUCUACCCUUAAGGAUAUAGAAAUACGCGACCUUAUGGAAGCGGCUGAUGUGGACAACAGUGGAACUAUAGAUUAUGGGGAGUUCAUUGCUGCAACCGUUCAUCUCAACAAACUGGAGCGUGAGGAACAUCUUGUUGCAGCAUUCCAGUAUUUUGACAAGGACGGAAGUGGUUAUAUUACAGUUGAUGAACUUCAACAAGCUUGUACAGAACAUAACAUGACUGAUGUUUUUCUUGAAGAUAUUAUCAAGGAAGUUGAUCAAGAUAACGAUGGAAGGAUUGAUUAUGGUGAAUUUGUUGCCAUGAUGCAAAAAGGCAAUGUUGGGAUUGGUAGGAGGACUAUGCGCAACAGUCUGAAUUUGAGCAUGAGGGACGCACCAAGUGCUCAUUAGCUUUUAAUUGUGCUCAUUAUAUGCAGAAAUUAUUUAUGAUGAUUUCGGAUAAAAUAGAGUAGUUGGCAGAAUACUGGCAUACAUUUGGAGGCGUAUCGAGCUUAGUUUAGUGGCAAAGAACUUCUUGCUGUUUAUAUAUGGUAGAAUCAUUUAUUUAGAAAAGACGCGUGAUUUAGCUUGGGGUGGGAGACGGGGAGUGGAGCCCCAAUUGAGUCUCAUUUUAGGAAAUAAAAGACCUUCUAAUCAUAAAUGCUCUUUCUGGUUGUCAUGGACGUUACAGAACCAGUUUCUGGCUGUUGAAUGAUAACUCACUCAAUGUUGUAUGCAGCAAAGCCAGAAAGAGCAAAAUAAAGCAUAAAUCUUUACCAAUGAUUGUUUUUAAUCCUGUUGGAGGAUGUCAUCGCAUGGAGAAAACUGGGGAUUGUGGAUGCUCCUGCACGAGUACGCAUCAAGUGUGACAUUUAUGUGUUGUAUGACUGCAAAAUUUGUUUGUGUCUGUGUCUGUGUCUGUGUAAACUAAUUCUUGCAGCUAUUUUGAGUUGGUCUGUUAUUUAUCUGUGUUUUCAUAUAGGGGCAUCCUGUUUAUAGUUGAAGUAGAAGGAUUUUGAUUAUUCAAUUUCUGAUUUUUCGCAUGUAAAGUUUCACACACAAGAUAUUAUGUAUUGGCUAAACUGAGAAGCGUAUUUCGAUUCUGUAGGUGCACAUGAAUUGUGUUAAAGUGACAAUGAAGAAUUUUAUAUCCCCAAUAGUUUUUUUUUUUUUUGGCAUCAAAUUCAUCCUUCUAAUAAUACUAUCAUUUUGUAAUAAUUUAAUAAAUAAAAAUAAUUAUGUCCGAA